GCUGCUCAGGAGAGUGAGGCUUCCCCAGCACCUGCCAAGAAAGUCUGUGCCACCUCUGGACUUGUUGGGGCUUCACCAGUGGAACCAUCAAGAGAGCUCAUCCAGAGAUUUAAUCUCCGCAAGCUCACGGUUCCACUGGUUCGCCUGGACCUGAAACGCCAUCCUGAGCUCAUGGUUCGCCUCGCUCCAGUCGACCCUGAAGCUGCUUGCAGGGCCCUUGGACAGAGCAACAGCUGCUCAUCUUCUCAGCAGCACAGCCCAGCCUGCCACCCAUCAGCUCCUUGGUGCCAGAAGCGCAGUGCUGCCUCACCUGAGGAUUCAGAGCUGCCUCCAGGCCCUUCCAGGACAAGUCCAGAUCCUCAAGGGCGUGAAGCUUCCCCAGCACGUGCCAAGAAAGUGUUUGCUACAUCUGGACUUGGGGUUUCAUCAGCCCGGCCAGGCACACACAAAUUUCAAUUCCAGCCAGAGCUCAUGACUCCACCAUUUCCUGCGCACCAUCAAAGCACUUCUGCGGCCUCUCCAGAGAGCAGCAGCUGCACUUCUCCAGAGCAGCACUUGCCAGCCAACAUCCCAUCAGGUACGGAAUGUGUUUCUCCCCUGGCUUUUCAGAAAGAUCACAAAAAGUGACUGAAGUAUUUUGCCGCGGUGCUCUGUCAUGUGUCCAUUUGAUUGUGACAAUCAGGUGUCAAGGGUACUAGGAAGCAGGAUCAUGAAUAUC